rnacentral:rRNA from 1 species
GAUUGUAGGCUGCAACUCGCCUACAUGAAGUCGGAGUUGCUAGUAAUCGCGGAUCAGAAUGCCGCGGUGAAUGCGUUCCCGGGUCUUGUACACACCGCCCGUCACACCAUGGAAGUUGGGGCGCCCGAAGUUGCCUAAGAAAUAAGGUACCUAAGGCGAAACCAAUGACUGGGGUGAAGUCGUAACAAGGUAGC